CUUUAUGCCUUGAAAACUCAAAAAUGUUUGGUUAAAGUGUGUAACUGGCUUAACAAGGUGUCUGGCUCUCAACACAGCUGUUUUUGUUUUUACACAGCCGCCAUGUUGUGUUCUUGGUUUACUAAUGGCGCGAAAAAAAAAAAAAAAAAAAGCCACAGGAAGACGAAAGAUAGUAGCUGGAUGCCCUGAGUAAACAAACUCUUACUGUUUACAUUUAUUCCACCAAAUAUAAAAUGGCUCCCUAAUGAAAUACAGAAGUCCUUACAAUACAAACAUGGUGUAUUUGAGUUGGGCUGAAGAACAACACAGGGUUUAGAAAGCUGUUUACUUUUUUUAUAUAUAAAUCCUCAAGGUGUUUGUUGACCUACACAAUUAAUAAUUUGCAUCUUCUACAGUUUUAUGUAACAUAUUUUUAAGUUUGUUGUCUAACAAAACUAGACAGUCUGCUUCUAGUGAGAAUACAUGUAGUCGUGUAAAGUACUGAAAAGUCAGCAGUAAGAAGUACUAAACCAUCAGGAUGAUUCACCUGGGUAGAAACAUUCAGGGAACUUUAAUAAGAAGAAACAAAUUUUCUGCUAAAAAUAGAUUAGCUCUACAGAUUAGCAGGAGAUUAGCUUGCUUUCAGUUACUCACAGCUAACUCCUGAUCUUUAGUUACUCGCUGGUUCCCUUUGCGGCAAAAUCCUGACUGUUAGCAAACUCCAGAUUGUUGGUUCUUGCUGUUUCUCCUGAUUUGUGAACAUCCGGCUGAAUAUUUGACGUGUAGAAGCAAUGAUGUGAUUCUAGAUCUUUAUCAUCCAUCCUAAAUACUGCAUCAGUAGAAGGAAUGAUGGCUCGAGGCCUCUUUCAGUCAACUACUAAGAACUGAUAAAUACUCACACGCUUGGAAUCUUAAAAUGCUGCUUAUCAGUUGCUGAGGUGAAUAAAGUGUGUGUGUGUGUGUGUGUGUGUGUGUGUGUGUGUGUGUGGUGGGGGUAGAAAUUUAACCCAGACAGGUUUACAAUGACUCAGAAUAGGAUUUUUCUCUUUCGAACCUUUUUUUUAAAAACCUAUUUUAGAGCAGAUUAACUGAAAUGUGACAUGUUUUGUGAAACUCAGAAGAACAUUCACUGUGCACAUUUUUUCAGUCCACCAUACGCAAAUUGUGAGAUGAUUUAUUACUCGUAAAAAAUGGACUAACAAUAUAAAAAAGAUGACAUUUUAAGCAAAAAGUAUUUAUCAAAUGUGAAAAGGAGCGUUUCAGCCCAAAUCCAUGCAAAUAUCAGCCUUAAGCACUUUUAAAUCACGCACGUCUAUAUAAAUGUCUAUAUUUGAUUGCUCUGACUGAUUUUUUGAAGGAAAUUUUAUCCUUUAAGCAUCAAACAUGAGGAGAGCUCCCACACAGGACAACAUGUUUCAGCCAGCCACACUGCACUGUUACAUGGGAUCAAGAGAGCCAUAUUUUUUACUUAAGGACAUCAGUGAGGCUGAGGCUGGAGUCUGGAUGAAGAGGAAUCUUCUUUCAAUAGUAAUUUCUUCUUAAUUUCUAUUCCCGUUAUUAAUAUUAGAGAAGUUAUCCAUGCAGCCGCAUGAUGUCUACAGUGAGUUGGAGGCUGUUUUCAAAAACAGCGUAUUCUUUAGUUCAUCCCUCUUCUUUUUAUUCUUUUUAUUAUUUUGCAUGCAGUUCCAAAAAGCUUUCACUUUCCAAAAUGUCCCAAAAUAUCACUUUCAUCCUUUUGCUUUUGACCUUAAUUCAUAUUUCAAUGCUUUCUUGUUCUUUAGAUUGCAGGCUGAAAACACAGAAUGCCUCUGUUCUAUCUUUGCUUCAAGACGAAUUUGUUUCCCCCCCUUCUCCUCUUUAGUCCUUGUCUUGUUCGUAAACCGAGCUAUGAAAUGUAUUUACCUGCAUUUAAUACUCACAUCACUAAAGCCGUCAUUUCUUGCAACUCUUCAUUAUAUUUUAAUGAAAAUCCGAUGAUUUCAAAACUUUUUUCUUUGAGCUACAGUCUUGCACAAAACUUUAAAGUGUUGGGAAGAUGCGGGGAAAAUGCCUUCAUAAAGUAGUAAAAUAAAAAGUGCGCGGGGAUGAAAAAUAAUUGCUAUAUUGAGCCCAAGACCAUAAAACAACCAGUAAGAAAAAUAAACCAAAUCAUAAUUUGCCUUAGCAUUUAUAACUUCACAGAUUGUCUUGGAUACACUGCCAUAGGUUUUUUUUUUUUUUUUUUUUUAAACAAAUUGUCUGGUACGUUGUUCCAAGCUUGUUGUUGAAACAGCCCUUCUGUCUCUGCAGGAAAAAUCCCAGACAGCCUUAAUGAUGUUUUUAAUCAUAAACAUGGGCUAUUACUU